rnacentral:rRNA from 1 species
GAUGAACGCUGGCUACAGGCUUAACACAUGCAAGUCGAGGGGAAACGACGGGGUAGCUUGCUUUCCCGGGCGUCGAACGGCGUACGGGUGAGUAACGUGUAUUCAACUUGCCUCUGACUGAGGGAUAACCCGCUGAAAGUCGGCCUAAUACCUCAUGGCAUCGUCUGCGGGCAUCCAACGACGAUUAAAGAUUUCAUGGGGCAGGGAUGGGGAUGCGUCUGAUUAGCUAGUUGGCGGGGUACCGGCCCACUAAGGCGACGAUCAGUAGGGGUUCUGAGAGGAAGCUCCCUCACAGGGGGACUGGCACACGGGCCACACAGCUACGGGCGACAGCAGUGAGGAAGAUUGCAGAGUGGACGAGAGCCUGAUCGGGCCAAGUCGCAUGCAGGAAGGCCGCCCUAUGGAUUGUAAACUGCUUUUAUGAGACGGUAAAGUGAGGUACGGGUGCUUCAGUGCAGGUACCGGAUAAAUAAGGACCGGCUAAUUACGUG